rnacentral:misc_RNA from 1 species
GAGGGUAUAUGUAUGUUAGUCAACUAAUAAGGCUGUGGGUCGUGGAUCUGAGCUUGUCCAAAGCUGGCACGAGACUUUUUUGUCCAAUCAAUAAUGGGAGCUUUGAAUUAAAAUUAAAUAAUAGAUAUGGAAAAUAUUAUCCAAAUUUGUUUUCGGAAUUUCGCAUAAGAGUUUGGAUAACUCUCUGAAUUGGGUAUGAAAUUUGUGACAAAUGUAAAGUCAUGGGUAGCAAUAUAAUUGUAAAUGAACAAUGAAUUCCUUAUAAUCCUUAACAAAAGUUUUGGACUUGGGUUUGUAAUUAGACCAUUUACGUGAAUAGGCCAUUUAGCAGCUUUAUAUACUUAGCUUUAGCGCUAUAGGUUGAUGAGGGUUUUGGAUGAUUUGUGUUCUUGAUUGUCUUUCUAUU